rnacentral:rRNA from 1 species
CAGUAGCCGCGGUAAGACAGAGGAUGCAAGCGUUAUCCGGAAUUACUGGGUGUAAAGGGAGCGUAGACGGUUAAACAAGUCUGAAGUGAAAUGCCGGGGCUCAACCCCGGAGCUGCUUUGGGAACUGUAGAACUGGAGUGUCGGAGGGGUAAGCGGAAUUCCCAGUGUAGCGGUGAAAUGCGUAGAUAUUGGGAGGAACACCGGCGGCGAAGGCGGCUUACUGGACGACAACUGACGUUGAGGCUCGAAGGCGUGGGUAGCAAACAGGAUUAGAUACCCCAGUAGUCCCUGUCUCUUAUAC